rnacentral:snRNA from 1 species
GUCCCUUCGGAGACAUUUGAUCAAAUUAGAAUGAUACGGAGAAGAUUAAUUAGCAUGACCCUGCGUAAGGAUGACACACACAAAUUGAGAAAUGUUAAUAUUUACA